CCUACGAGCGGCAGCAGUAGGGAAUCUUCCACAAUGGGCGAAAGCCUGAUGGAGCAACGCCGCGUGGGUGAAGAAGGUCUUCGGAUCGUAAAACCCUGUUGUUAGAGAAGAAAGUGCGUGAGAGUAACGGUUCAAGUUUCGACGGUAUCUAACCAGAAAGCCACGGCUAACUACGUGCCAGCAGCCGCGGUAAUACGUAGUUGGCAAGCGUUAUCCGGAUUAAUUGGGCGUAAAGGGAAGGCAGGCGGUCUUUUACGUCGGAUGUAAAAGCCUUCGGCUUAGACGGAGUAGUGCAUUGGAACCUGGUAUACUUGAGUGCAGAAGAUGCGAGUGGAACUCCAUGUGAAGCGGUGAAAUGCGUAGAUAUAUGGCAGAACACCAGUGGCGAAAGCGGCUCUCUGGUCUGUAACUGACGCUGAGGUUCGAAAGCGUGGGUAGCAAACAGGAUUAGAUACCCCUGUAGUC
rnacentral:rRNA from 1 species